rnacentral:rRNA from 1 species
AGUGAACGCUGGCGGUAGGCCUAACACAUGCAAGUCGAACGGCAGCACAGUAAGAGCUUGCUCUUACGGGUGGCGAGUGGCGGACGGGUGAGGAAUACAUCGGAAUCUACUUUUUCGUGGGGGAUAACGUAGGGAAACUUACGCUAAUACCGCAUACGACCUACGGGUGAAAGCAGGGGAUCUUCGGACCUUGCGCGAUUGAAUGAGCCGAUGUCGGAUUAGCUAGUUGGCGGGGUAAAGGCCCACCAAGGCGAGGAUCCGUAGCUGGUCUGAGAGGAUGAUCAGCCACACUGGAACUGAGACACGGUCCAGACUCCUACGGGAGGCAGCAGUGGGGAAUAUUGGACAAUGGGCGCAAGCCUGAUCCAGCCAUACCGCGUGGGUGGAGGAGGCCUUCGGGUUGUAAAGCCCUUUUGUUGGGAAAGAAAAGCAGCAGGUUAAUACCCCGCUGUUCUGACGGUACCCAAAGAAUAAGCACCGGCUAACUUCGUG